rnacentral:tRNA from 1 species
GGGGAUUUAGCUCAGUGGUAGAGCACUUGCCUAGCAAGCACAAAACCCUGGGUUCAGACCCCAACUCCG